AGUUGAAGUUUGAUUGGAAUUCUGUGACUUGUUAUUCCUUGUUCCUGCAUAACAAGUCACAGAAUUCCAAUCAAACUUCAACU